rnacentral:rRNA from 1 species
GUUGAUCCUGGCUCAGAUUGAACGCUGGCGGGAUGCUUUACAUGCAAGUCGAACGGCAGCACGGACUUCGGUCUGGUGGCGAGUGGCGAGCAGGGUGACAGCAUGUAUCGGAACGUGCCUAGUGACGAAGGAUAUUCGCGAAAGCGUAGCUAAUACCACACCUGCGCCGCCGCUCUGGAAAGCGGGGGCCAACUGGACUCGCACCUGCUAUUAGAAACGGCCGAUAUCGGAUUAGCUGGUUGGUGGGGUAACGGCUCACCAAGGCGACGAUCCGUAGCUGGUUUGAGAGGACGACCAGCCACUGGGACUGAGACACGGCCCAGACUCCUACAGGGAGAGGCAGCAGUGGGGAAUUUUGGACAAUGGGGAAACCCUGAUCCAGCCAUCCGCGUGUGCGAUGAAGGCCUUCGGGUUGUAAAGCACUUUUGGCGGGAAAGAAACGGCGCAGGAUAAUACCCCGUGCAACUGACGGCCUGCAGAAUAAGCACCGGCCAACGUGCCGUGUGUGAUGUGCUGUGGGAUGCAAGCGUUAAUCGGAAUUACGGGCGUAAAGCGUGCGCGAGCAGUUUUGGAGGAGAUUGGCAGAGUCGCGGAACCGCUGCAAUUGCAUUUUAACUACCAAAGCUCAGUGUGUCAGAGGGAGGUGGAAUUCCGCGUGUAGCAGUGAAAUGCGUAGAUAUGCGGAGAGGCACCGAUAGCGAAGGCAGCCUCCUGGGAUAACGCGACGCUCAUGCACGAAAGCGUGGGGAGCCAAACAGGUUAGAUACCCUGGUAGUCCACGCCCUAAACAAUCAACCAAAGCUGUUGGGGCCUUUGACGCGGUAGCCUGGCUAUUGCUGCGUGAAGUUGACCGCCUGGGAAGUACGGUCGCAAGAUUAAAACUCAAAGGAAUUAGCGGGGACCCGCACAAGCGGUGGAUGAUGUGGAUUAAUUCGAUCCUGGCAUAAAAACCACCUACCCUUGGCGUAAUGGAAUCCCGAAGAGAUUUGUAGGUGCUCGCAAGAGAACCGGAACACAGGUGCUGCAUGGCUGUCGUCGGCUCAAUGAUGAGGAUGUUGGAGUUCAGUCCCGCAUGAGCGCAACCCUUAUCAUUAGUUACUACGAAAGGGGCACUCUAAUGGGACUGCCGGUGACAAACCUUCGGAGAAGGUGAGGAUGACGUCAAGUCUCAUGGCCCUUAUGGGUGGGCUUCCUGCGUCCAUGCAAUGGUCGGGACAAGAGAUCGCCAACCCACGAGGGGAGCCAAUCCCAGAAACCCGAUCGUAGUCCGGAUCGCAGUCUGCAGCUCGACUGCGUGAAGUCGGAAUCGCUAGUAAUCGCAGCGGAUCGCCUCAUCGCGGUGAAUACGUUCCCCAGGUCUUGUACACUGCCGUCAUACCAUGGGAGUGGGUUUUACAGAAGUAGUUAGCCUAACCGUAAGGAGGCGAUUACUACGGUAAGUUCAUGACCUGAAGGUCGUCGUAACAAGGUAA